GUGCCAGCCGCCGCGGUAAUACCGGCGGCCCGAGUGGCGGCCACUUUUAUUGGGCCUAAAGCGUCCGUAGCCGGGCUGGUAAGUCCUCCGGGAAAUCUGGCGGCUCAACCGUCAGACUGCCGGAGGAUACUGCCAGCCUAGGGACCGGGAGAGGCCGGGGGUAUUCCCGGGGUAGGGGUGAAAUCCUGUAAUCCCGGGAGGACCACCUGUGGCGAAGGCGCCCGGCUGGAACGGGUCCGACGGUGAGGAACGAAGGCCAGGGGAGCGAACCGGAUUAGAUACCCGGGUAGUCCUGGCUGUAAACGAUGCGGACUAGGUGUCGCGCGAGCUACGAGCUCGCGCGGUGCCGGAGGGAAGCCGUUAAGUCCGCCGCCUGGGGAGUACGGCCGCAAGGCUGAAACUCAAAUGAAUUGACGGGG
rnacentral:rRNA from 1 species